UUAGAGUUUGAUCCUGGCUCAGGAGGAGCGCUGGCGGCGUGCCUAAUACAUGCAAGUCGAACGCUUCACUUCGGUGAAGAGUGGCGAACGGGUGAGUAAUACAUAAGUAACCUGGCAUCUACGGGGGGAUAACUGAUGGAAACGUCAGCUAAGACCGCAUAGGUGUAGAGAUCGCAUGAACUCUAUAUGAAAAGUGCUACGGGACUGGUAGAUGAUGGACUUAUGGCGCAUUAGCUGGUUGGUAGGGUAACGGCCUACCAAGGCGACGAUGCGUAGCCGACCUGAGAGGGUGACCGGCCACACUGGGACUGAGACACGGCCCAGACUCCUACGGGAGGCAGCAGUAGGGAAUUUUCGGCAAUGGGGGAAACCCUGACCGAGCAACGCCGCGUGAAGGAAAAAGUAAUUCGUUAUGUAAACUUCUGUCAUAGAGGAAGAACGGUGGAUAUAGGGGAAUGAUAUCCAAGUGACGGUACUCUAUAAGAAAGCCACGGCUAACUACGUGCCAGCAGCCGCGGUAAUACGUAGGUGGCGAGCGUUAUCCGGAAUUAUUGGGCGUAAAGAGGGAGCAGGCGGCACUAAGGGUCUGUGGUGAAAGAUCGAAGCUUAACUUCGGUAAGCCAUGGAAACCGUAGAGCUAGAGUGUGUGAGAGGAUCGUGGAAUUCCAUGUGUAGCGGUGAAAUGCGUAGAUAUAUGGAGGAACACCAGUGGCGAAGGCGACGAUCUGGCGCAUAACUGACGCUCAGUCCCGAAAGCGUGGGGAGCAAAUAGGAUUAGAUACCCUAGUAGUCCACCCCGUAAAACGAUGAGUUACUAAGUGUGGGAAGUCAAUCUCCAGUCCCGCAGUUAACGCAAAAAGUAUUCCGCCCUGAGUAGGACGGUUCGCAAGAAUGAAACUCAAAGGAAUUGACGGGGGCCCGCACAAGCGGGGGAGCAUGUGGUUUAAUUCGAAGCAACGCGAAGAACCUUACCAGGUCUUGACAUCGAUCUAAAGGCUCCAGAGAUGGAGAGAUAGCUAUAGAGAAGACAGGUGGUGCAUGGUUGUCGUCAGCUCGUGUCGUGAGAUGUUGGGUUAAGUCCCGCAACGAGCGCAACCCCUGUUGCCAGUUGCCAGCAUUAAGUUGGGGACUCUGGCGAGACUGCCGGUGACAAGCCGGAGGAAGGCGGGGAUGACGUCAAAUCAUCAUGCCCCUUAUGACCUGGGCUACACACGUGCUACAAUGGACAGAGCAGAGGGAAGCGAAGCCGCGAGGUGGAGCGAAACCCAUAAAACUGUUCUCAGUUCGGACUGCAGUCUGCAACUCGACUGCACGAAGAUGGAAUCGCUAGUAAUCGCGAAUCAGCAUGUCGCGGUGAAUACGUUCUCGGGCCUCGCACUCACCGCCCGUC
rnacentral:rRNA from 1 species